GUAGACAGGCUGAAGCCCAUCUUGCCCUGUUGGUUUAAUCAGUGAACUAGAAUUCGUCCCUGUGAUCUUUUGUGUAACAAGGUCUUCAGCCAGUGAAAGCGAGUAAAGUCAUCUUCAUAUUGAAAUGGAGAUUAUUGUUUAAAGCAAUACGUGAUGGCUGAACCAGAG